GGGCAUUCGGGAGAAACUUUUGCAACAGUGUAUUAAUGUGAUUGGUUUUCUUUUUGUUUUAAGCUAAACAUCUAAAACAAAUUUCAAGUUAACAGUACAUACAACUCAGAUUUAGUAUUAUUGUUUAUCAUAAAACAUAUUAUGUUCCUAGUUUUAAAAAGACCCAAACUAUGAUUAAUAUAAUUUAUUGGCAUUUUUGCUGAAUAGGUUUAAGUCAGAUAAUAGAUUUUAAAAAAGCAAAUGAGGC
rnacentral:lncRNA from 1 species